UCGAGAAUCAUUCGCAAUGGGGGAAACCCUGACGAUGCGACGCCGCGUGAAGGAUGAAGGCCCUCGGGUUGUAAACUUCUGUCAAGAGGGAAUAAGCAAGUGAAGGUACCUCUAGAGGAAGGGGCGGCUAAUUCCGUGCCAGCAGCCGCGGUAACACGGAAGCCCCGAGCGUUGUUCGGAUUUAUUGGGCGUAAAGGGUGCGUAGGCGGCGCGGAAAGUCUGGUGUGAAAGGCAGGGGCUCAACCCCUGGACUGCACUGGAUACUCCCGUGCUUGAGGACUGGAGGGGAGACUGGAAUUCACGGUGUAGCAGUGAAAUGCGUAGAUAUCGUGAGGAAGACCGGUGGCGAAGGCGAGUCUCUGGACAGUGCCUGACGCUGAGGCACGAAGGCUGGGGUAGCGAACA
rnacentral:rRNA from 1 species